GCCAGGCGAGGUGGUGGGCGCCUGUAGUCCCAGCUACUCCGGAGGCUGAGGCAGGAGAAUGGCGUAAACCUGAGAGGUGGAGCUUGCAGUGAGCUGAGAUCCGGCCACUGCACUCCAGCCUGGGCGACAGAGUGAGACUCCCUCUCAAAAAAAAAAAAAAGAUGGAGUCUCGCUCUGUUGCCCAGGCUGGAGUGCAGUGGCAUGAUCUCAGCUCACUGCAACCUCCUCCUCCUAGGUUCAAGCAAUUCUCCUGCCUCAC
rnacentral:sRNA from 1 species